CCCUGAUGACGGAGGCAGUAUGACCUCUGAAACGUUGGUUAACAUCGACCAGACUACACAGCGCAACAACCCAGAAGACAGAAAUCUUCAUUUUGUAACUAGUUAUUAUUUAUACGGUGAGGAGUUGUUAGUCCUAUGUUCAAAUCUCAAGCUGGAGGACCACCCCCUGUCGGCUAUCCACGACUGCUUAUUCAACAUAUUCGCAGCUACCCUCAAUAUCUGGGGGCCUUCUCCUCCAUCUGCAACCUGAGGAUGCGCCAUGUCGUGGUAACAAGGGACCCACAAUACAUGAAUUUCAGGUAGGGUUCUAUUAAAUAUGAAUGUGGCGAGUUUAAUGUUCUAUGUCAUGUUUGCGUAUCACGUUUCAUGAAAAUUUGCUACCUUUUUCACUGCAGGUUAUUCAGAGACAUUCGAAGAAAUGACACCAAAACUUUCUCUGUCCAUAUACUGAAUUAUGAUCCAGGCCUGUUGGACCACGCACAUAUCGCUUCUCAGUUAGCAACCAGGACUUUAAUCCGCCUCCAACCACUUCCAGUAAUUUCCAACUGUCAAUGAAGAGAUUUUACGUUCAUGCCUUGGUCCAUUUUCACCUACCAAUCUAGUGGCAUGUUCUACUACAAAGUCUUUCAGUACUCAGAAGGACCAGGUUCAACACCCGGCACAGACUUUCCGUUGUAUUCGUAGUUUCAGUUGCUAGGUGUGAGAGACAGCUGACAGUAAAGGUCAUAACGGAAGGCAGACCAGCUCUAAAAAGACAAGUGUAAAUAUGUUGAUAAAUAAAUGACAUAUUAACAAAUAUAUAUCCUGAAACAUAGCUUCAGAAGUGCUGUAAUUAUAGCAAAUGACAAAACGUCAAGUUUUAUAAAACUUUCACUAAACAAUGAUGACUGUGCCAUAGCUCGGGCGGUUAGUCGCCUGCUUCUCUCCACGAAGGACCGGAUUCCUACUUAAUUCUGUUCAUGUGGGAUCCACGUCAUUUCGCCCUUGACAUAUUUAGGUUAAAAUGUAUAUUGGAAUUAUUUGAUCAACUUCAUUAAUACUAGAAUGUGGUGUUAUCAUAGUACUACAAUUAUACAGACCUUAAGACAUAAAUGUGAACAGAUUACUGAGUAAGUAGGAUUUGAGGUUAUUGCAGCGACUGUCUUGUGGAUUAUAGCGCUGAGUAGUCUGGUAGAAGUUUGCCAAAAUUUCAGAGGUCCUUGCUGUCAGUAUAUCGCAUGAAAUGUGUUCUUACAGACCUGACAGAAGAUGUUGCUAAGUAGGCCGUCUGCUUAAAAAGCAGGGUAUUUUUUCUGUACAGUGACGCGUCAGAGCACUUCUUCCGGAAUAGUUGUCCGAUACCUCUCUCACAAAAACAAUUGUUUGCGUAACCUCAUUCUACAAUAAGAACUUUUCUCAAAUUAUAUUUACUUUAAAACACGUUCUGCAAGUCAGUGAAGUUGACUCGGUGUAUGAUGAAACAUCAGGAUAGAACAAACGUCUCAUAUUUAUGAUACGACAUCAUACCUGAAGUCUGAUCUAAAAUAUUCUGUGACUCUCCAGUUCGACUGGAAAGUGAAACCAGCAGUAAACUUUUCGAAAAUAUAAAUUUCUG